rnacentral:rRNA from 1 species
UGACUUGUGGCUGGGGGUGAAAGGCCAAUCAAACCGGGAGAUAGCUGGUUCUCCCCGAAAGCUAUUUAGGUAGCGCCUCGUGAAUUCAUCUCCGGGGGUAGAGCACUGUUUCGGCAAGGGGGUCAUCCCGACUUACCAACCCGAUGCAAACUGCGAAUACCGGAGAAUGUUAUCACGGGAGACACACGGCGGGUGCUAACGUCCGUCGUGAAGAGGGAAACAACCCAGACCGCCAGCUAAGGUCCCAAAGUCAUGGUUAAGUGGGAAACGAUGUGGGAAGGCCCAGACAGCCAGGAUGUUGGCUUAGAAGCAGCCAUCAUUUAAAGAAAGCGUAAUAGCUCACUGGUCGAGUCGGCCUGCGCGGAAGAUGUAACGGGGCUAAACCAUGCACCGAAGCUGCGGCAGCGACACUGUGUGUUGUUGGGUAGGGGAGCGU